CCUGGCUCAGGAUGAACGCUAGCUACAGGCUUAACACAUGCAAGUCGAGGGGCAGCAUCAUCAAAGCUUGCUUUGAUGGAUGGCGACCGGCGCACGGGUGAGUAACACGUAUCCAACCUGCCGACAACACUGGGAUAGCCUUUCGAAAGAAAGAUUAAUACCGGAUGGCAUAAUUAUUCCGCAUGAGAUAAUUAUUAAAGAAUUUCGGUUGUCGAUGGGGAUGCGUUCCAUUAGGCAGUUGGCGGGGUAACGGCCCACCAAACCUACGAUGGAUAGGGGUUCUGAGAGGAAGGUCCCCCACAUUGGAACUGAGACACGGUCCAAACUCCUACGGGAGGCAGCAGUGAGGAAUAUUGGUCAAUGGACGAGAGUCUGAACCAGCCAAGUAGCGUGAAGGAUGACUGCCCUAUGGGUUGUAAACUUCUUUUAUACGGGAAUAAAGUGAGCCACGUGUGGCUUUUUGUAUGUACCGUAUGAAUAAGGAUCGGCUAACUCCGUGCCAGCAGCCGCGGUAAUACGGAGGAUCCGAGCGUUAUCCGGAUUUAUUGGGUUUAAAGGGAGCGUAGGCGGGUUGUUAAGUCAGUUGUGAAAGUUUGCGGCUCAACCGUAAAAUUGCAGUUGAUACUGGCGACCUUGAGUGCAACAGAGGUAGGCGGAAUUCGUGGUGUAGCGGUGAAAUGCUUAGAUAUCACGAAGAACUCCGAUUGCGAAGGCAGCUUACUGGAUUGUAACUGACGCUGAUGCUCGAAAGUGUGGGUAUCAAACAGGAUUAGAUACCCUGGUAGUCCACACAGUAAACGAUGAAUACUCGCUGUUGGCGAUAUACUGUCAGCGGCCAAGCGAAAGCAUUAAGUAUUCCACCUGGGGAGUACGCCGGCAACGGUGAAACUCAAAGGAAUUGACGGGGGCCCGCACAAGCGGAGGAACAUGUGGUUUAAUUCGAUGAUACGCGAGGAACCUUACCCGGGCUUAAAUUGCAACUGACGGAACCGGAAACGGAUCUUUCUUCGGACAGUUGUGAAGGUGCUGCAUGGUUGUCGUCAGCUCGUGCCGUGAGGUGUCGGCUUAAGUGCCAUAACGAGCGCAACCCUUACGGGUAGUUACCAUCAGGUUAUGCUGGGGACUCUACCCGGACUGCCGUCGUAAGAUGUGAGGAAGGUGGGGAUGACGUCAAAUCAGCACGGCCCUUACGUCCGGGGCUACACACGUGUUACAAUGGGGGGUACAGAAGGCAGCUACACGGCGACGUGGUGCUAAUCCCAAAAGCCUCUCUCAGUUCGGAUUGGAGUCUGCAACCCGACUCCAUGAAGCUGGAUUCGCUAGUAAUCGCGCAUCAGCCACGGCGCGGUGAAUACGUUCCCGGGCCUUGUACACACCGCCCG
rnacentral:rRNA from 1 species